CGGUAAUACGUAGAAGACUAGUGUUAUUCAUCUUUAAUAGGUUUAAAGGGUACCUAGACGGCAUAUUAAACCUUAUGUGGAACUGGUAUGCUAGAGUUACUUAUGAGGAAGUUUUAAAGUACUAGAGGUGUAGAGAUAAAAUUCAGUUAUACCUUUUUUCUAACGAAAAACAUCGGCACAGAUAUAGGUGAAAACAUCUUCUUAUGGGAUAACUGACGUUGAGGGACGAAGGCUUUUUAUAGCGAACAGGAUUAGAUACCCUGGUAGUCAGAGCAGAAAACGAUGAGUGUCAUAGAUUAGAUAAGUAUUUAUUCUAUAAAUGAAAAUGUAAACACUCCACCUCAAGAGUAAUUUGGCAACAUUGGAACUGAAAUCAUUAGACCGUGUCUGAAACCAGUAGUGAAGUAUGUUGUUUAAUUUGAUAAUCCGCAAAAAACCUUACCACAGCUUGAAUAUCUAUUUACUUACUUUUAUUACAUGACUUGUGAGCAAUGUUAUGUAUAACUACGAUUGCUUUUUAUACAAUCGUGUCAAUAGAUGAAAUAAUAUAUGUACAAGUGUUGCACAGCUGUCUUAAGUUAAAUGUCGUAAGACUUUGGUUAGCUCCAGUAAAUUAACGCAAACCCUUGCUCUAGUUUAAGUAGAGUAGUUCUCCACCAUAU
rnacentral:rRNA from 1 species